AUUUCACAUAAGACUUAAGGAUGAUAAUGACGAACAAUGAUGAUGAUGAUGAUGAUGAUGAUAGUGGUGGUGGUAGUGGUGGUGGUUUUGGUGGGUUUAGGAACAAUAAAAAAAAUCAGGAUGAUAAGAAUGAAUGAUGGUGAUGACAAUGAUGACGAUGAUGGUCGUAGGUGAUGAUAAUGAUGGUGAUGGUAUUAAUGUUGAUAAGGGUCAUCACUGCCAGAAGGACGAGAAAGAAUGGCGAUGACCUCGUGAAGAUGGUGACGAGAGUGAUGGUGGUGAUGAUGAUGAUAAUGAUGAUGGUGGUGGUGAUGAUGGAGAUGAGAAUGAUGAUGAUGAUGAUGAUGAGGAGGAGGAGGAGGAGGAUGAGGAGGGUGAUAAAAAUGAUGACAGUGAUGUGCAUAAUGAAGAUAAUAAAGAUGAUGAGAAAUGUUAAUUGUAUAAUGAUGUAUUGUUGUGUUACUCGUGCCUGUACAUUUCCUUCACUGACACAUACAAAUAAUUUAAUCAGUCAUUUGCUAACUUUUUCCUGUAUGGCUUUGAUCCCUUACUGCCACGCGUCGCCACUUAAGUACGUAGCGAGCCGAGGAAGAAGAAAGAAGGCGGAGGUCCACCCAGGCGAGCCGUUCCCGCAUCACACAACUUACACGUUAAUUUCUCGCAGAGUAAAGCAAAACACAACAGAUGUGUAUAGAGACUCUACACAGUAUCCUGAAACAUUUCUGCCCGCACCCCGACUACUUUCCUGAGGCUCUAGUUGAAAUUACACAGAUUUUCAGGGUGUUUGUACGGUUCUAGUGACAGACUGAUAAGGUCUCUACAGCAUCAUCCGGAGAAACAAUCUUGAAAACCCGUGUAAUUACCUCUGUGGCCUUUGAAAAUAGUCUGGAGAGAGAGCAAAGCUUUUCAGAACACAGGCACAUAACCUUGCUUCAUGCUUCAUGAAAAACAAGUGCAUUUAUGAUACCUGAGAAUGCCUUGUUGCAUUUCCCCCAUUAGCCUGUCUCUCAUUGGUGAAAACACCCGCACUAUACGUAUUACGUUAUUUCAGUAGACUCAAGUCGCUAUUUCAAGUCUACAUAAGCCUCAAUAAAUACGAGAGCUGAGGUGGUGGCCUGCUUCCCGACUGCCAAUCAGAGUGUUCUAUUUUUCCGUUUUCUUCCUUACUCUUCGUACAGCUCAUGUAUCCUUCAUUUGUCCUUACUUCUUGCCUCACAGUGUAUUGGUAAGUGUCUUCUACUGCUAAUAUAACCGUGAUUCUAUUAUUUUGUAUCAUUACAAGUAGUAUUGCGAGAGUGGCUCUGUUUUUAGUGACAAUUACCUCAGCACAGCCUCCACCAAUCAACACCAAGUAUUCAAGUCACGUGAUACUCUCUCCUCGCCGUCUCCUCAGCCAUUCGCCCUGCGCCCGCUGACGUGACGGGUCUCCGGUUGUGUUACGGCGGUGAAGCGGUGUUGCGUCUGUCCUUGGCGGGCAUGUAGUGGUGGACUGCGGUGUGGAGGGAGAGGUGGAUGCCUUCCUUCUCUCCCCUCCUCCGCUCCCUUCCUAGCCUGCCCGCCACCCUCUCCCCGCUCUUUCUUGCCAACUCUCCCCUGCUCCUCGUGUCCCAGACCUCGUCGAGAAGACACACACCUGGGCGUCUCCAGGAUCCUUCUGACACACAGGGAGGUGUAUCACUCCGCCAGCAGCAAACUUGACGUCAUGGGCCAGGGCAUGCAGCGGCGUGCAGUGCGUGGGUCUGGUGACUGUGUGGCCUCUGAUGAAGAGGUGUGUGAGCUGCUGGACGAGAGAAGAGCAAACGAAAAGUAAACAUGGGAUUGCUGCCGCCUCAGGACACUAGGAGCAUUGCGGAGGCGCUGAGGAAGACAUCACAACCCUUGACACAGCGAACACAACUCUGUACUGAGGCUGGCACUGGCUUCUCCCAACACCUCACGUGGUCAUUGCAACAAAAGGAGCAUCAACCCGACCUGAGCCGACUGUGGGAGUGACAAAUGGUUCCCUGGACGCCGUGUGUCACCGGAUUGCAGGCGAGCGUCAGGCGGACCAUGAGUCGGGACGCUGCCAAGUCCGUUGACCAGAACCUGACCAGGAAAAUUCAAGAAGCGUGGCCUUGACCUUGCUCAGCAGUUGUGCCCUCACCUGACCUACGUUAUGUUGCUCUGCGUUCAUUGUUUCUGGCAAACCCAGUGUCUCGCGUCCCCUCAGCGUGGCCAAGUCCCCUCCCGCGGUGCCAUUCUCUCAAAUCAGCCACAACAUGUCAAGGCGGCCAGUCCCGGCUCCCUGCAGAGGCUUUUUGUGUUCUCACCAUUUCUCUCCACCGUUGCUGCUCGCUGCCCCUUCUUCCCCCUCACACCCGCCCGGGACUGACAUCACAAGUGGAAGAUAUAACCCAUUUGCAAGAGUUUUCAUGGCGACGAGGGAGCAACAGUGUGUGUAAAGGUCAAUUUCCUGGACACUGGAGGCUAAAAAUUGCUUCAUACUCAGGGUAUUCCGCGUCACAGAAAACGGAAUUUGCCGCCUGCGAGCGCCUGGCCGCCCCUUGAUGGGAAGGGGGGGUAUCUCAAGGCGCCCGUGCAUUGUGGCGUGGCUCGUGUGGCUGGUGGGUGCUUGCUCCUUCUUGUGAGAAUGUGGCGUAUACCUCUAGAUUUUUUUCAUGGUUUGAUAUUAAUAUGUGAGAUGCAGUACGAGAUUAUGUUUUCGCGUGUGUGAGAGGUUAGUUAAUAGAAAAAUAAAUAAGUAAAAAAACUAAGUCAUUGUCGUUCAUUAACAAAACUAAGUAAAAAAUGGUUUCAAUAGGGAAGCUAAAUUAAUUUCAGAAAUGUCUGCCUAUUAUUUUUCUCCACAUUCCAUUAUAACGUUGUCUUUUGUUUGUUGUUUUUCUCAUAAGCUGUUAUUUAAAGAUGGUGACGAUGAUAAUGAAGAGUUUGUAACAAUGUGCUUAAUGAUUACCGAACAAAGCAGUAUUUGUACCAUGAACC